GGUCCUGUAGCCCAGUGGUUAGAGCGAUUUUCUUAUGAGCCGUAGGCCGUGGGUUCGACCCCCGUCGGUACUA
rnacentral:tRNA from 1 species